rnacentral:lncRNA from 1 species
GAACUUGUUGUCUUAAUGUUAGGGCUCAGAAAAAAAUGCUCUUCCCAAAUAUCACAUGAUUUAGCUACACCACUUCAAAAUAUUUACCUAAAUGAAUCAAAGGAAGACUACAAUAGAGAUAUCUGCACACCAGUGUUUAUCGAGACUGUUUUCACACUCGUCCAUUGGGAUGAUGUGUAGACUGCCACUGUCUAAGGUCAGCUCUGGCUCCGGCUUAUCGAGCUCCAGCUGAAGGAAAACAACAGGAUCUGGAAGACAACAGGAUACCUGUAAACAUGAAAACACACGGUAAUGGACACCGUGGACAUGUGCUCAUAAGCAGUAUUCACAAAGGACGGGAGUGUCUGAGAAGGACUCAGGAGCCCAUGUCUCCUUGCCUGAACAUUCAUUCUGCAGCUGGGAAGAGGAUGGGGAAGACAUCCAUUCCUGGUCUACGAUCCUUGAAGCAGUAUGAAGAGUUGCUUUUCUAUUGGAGGCACCACACACUUUGCUCCUUUGUCCCCCUCUGUUUGGAGCAUUCCUUGCUUGUGUGUCCUGCAGAUUCUGGUUCUUAGGCCAGAGCCACCCAUUGCCCCCUUGCUUCUCCAACUCCUGGAAUGACU